GUGGCGAACGGGUGAGUAACACGUGGGUAAUCUGCCCUGUACUCUGGGAUAAGCCUGGGAAACUGGGUCUAAUACCGGAUAUGACCUUUCACCGCAUGGUGGGGGGUGGAAAGUUCCGGCGGUAUGGGAUGGACCCGCGGCCUAUCAGCUUGUUGGUGGGGUAAUGGCCUACCAAGGCGACGACGGGUAGCCGGCCUGAGAGGGUGACCGGCCACACUGGGACUGAGACACGGCCCAGACUCCUACGGGAGGCAGCAGUGGGGAAUAUUGCACAAUGGGCGCAAGCCUGAUGCAGCGACGCCGCGUGAGGGAUGACGGCCUUCGGGUUGUAAACCUCUUUCGCCAGGGACGAAGCGGGAGUGACGGUACUUGGGGAAGAAGCACCGGCUAACUACGUGCCAGCAGCCGCGGUAAUACGUAGGGUGCGAGCGUUGUCCGGAAUUAUUGGGCGUAAAGAGCUCGUAGGCGGUUUGUCGCGUCGGCUGUGAAAUCUGGAGGCUUAACCUUCAGCGUGCAGUCGAUACGGGCGGACUUGAGUUCGGCAGGGGAGACUGGAAUUCCUGGUGUAGCGGUGAAAUGCGCAGAUAUCAGGAGGAACACCGGUGGCGAAGGCGGGUCUCUGGGCCGAUACUGACGCUGAGGAGCGAAAGC
rnacentral:rRNA from 1 species